rnacentral:rRNA from 1 species
AGAGUUUGAUCAUGGCUCAGGAUGAACGCUAGCGGGAGGCCUAACACAUGCAAGCCGAGCGGUAUUGUUUCUUCGGAAAUGAGAGAGCGGCGUACGGGUGCGGAACACGUGUGCAACCUGCCUUUAUCUGGGGAUAGCCUUUCGAAAGGAAGAUUAAUACUCCAUAAUAUAUUGAACGGCAUCGUUUAAUAUUGAAAGCUCCGGCGGAUAGAGAUGGGCACGCGCAAGAUUAGCUAGUUGGUGAGGUAACGGCUCACCAAGGCAAUGAUCUUUAGGGGCCUGAGAGGGUGAUCCCCCACACUGGUACUGAGACACGGACCAGACUCCUACGGGAGGCAGCAGUGAGGAAUAUUGGUCAAUGGGUGCAAGCCUGAACCAGCCAUCCCGCGUGAAGGACGACUGCCCUAUGGGUUGUAAACUUCUUUUGUAUAGGGAUAAACCUACUCUCGUGAGGGUAGCUGAAGGUACUAUACGAAUAAGCACCGGCUAACUCCGUG